rnacentral:rRNA from 12 species
GGGGGCACUCGUACUCCGUUGUCAGAGGUGAAAUUCUUGGAUUUACGGAAGACGAACAACUGCGAAAGCAUCUGCCAAGGAUGUUUUCAUUGAUCAAGAACGAAAGUUAGGGGAUCGAAGACGAUUAGAUACCGUCGUAGUCUUAACCAUAAACUAUGCCGACUGAGGAUUGGUGGAUGUAUCAACGACGACUCUAUCAGCACUCUAUGAGAAAUCAAAGUCUUUGGG